rnacentral:rRNA from 1 species
UACGAAGGGGGCAAGCGUUUGUUCGGAAUUACUGGGCGUAAAGGGCGCGUAGGCGGCUUACCAAGUCAGGCGUGAAAUUCCCGGGCUCAACCUGGGGGCUGCGCUUGAUACUGGUGAGCUUGAAUGCGGGAGAGGAUAGUGGAAUUCCCAGUGUAGAGGUGAAAUUCGUAGAUAUUGGGAAGAACACCGGUGGCGAAGGCGGCUAUCUGGCCCGUAAUUGACGCGUGAGGCGCGAAAAGCGUGGGGAGCAAACAG